GGGGGUGUAGCUCAGCUGGGAGAGCACCUGCUUUGCAAGCAGGGGGUCAGGAGUUCGAUUCUCCUCAUCUCCACCA
rnacentral:tRNA from 26 species